rnacentral:rRNA from 1 species
AGUGGCGGACGGGUGAGUAACGCGUGAGAAUCUGCCUUGGGGUCGGGGACAACCACUGGAAACGGUGGCUAAUACCGGAUAAGCCGAUUGGUGAAAGAUUUAUUGCCCGAAGAGGAGCUCGCGUCUGAUUAGCUAGUUGGUGAGGUAAGAGCUCACCAAGGCAGCGAUCAGUAGCUGGUCUGAGAGGACGAUCAGCCACACUGGGACUGAGACACGGCCCAGACUCCUACGGGAGGCAGCAGUGGGGAAUUUUCCGCAAUGGGCGAAAGCCUGACGGAGCAAGACCGCGUGAGGGAGGAAGGCUCUUGCGUUGUAAACCUCUUUUCUCAGGGAAGAAGCUCUGACGGUACCUGAGGAAUCAGCCUCGGCUAACUCCGUGCCAGCAGCCGCGGUAAUACGGAGGAGGCAAGCGUUAUCCGGAAUUAUUGGGCGUAAAGCGUCCGCAGGUGGCGAUUCAAGUCUGCUGUCAAAGCACGGGGCUUAACUCCGUAAAGGCAGUGGAAACUGAAUAGCUAGAGUGCCGUAGGGGUAGAGGGAAUUCCCGGUGUAGCGGUGAAAUGCGUAGAGAUCGGGAAGAACAUCGGUGGCGAAAGCGCUCUACUGGACGGCAACUGACACUCAGGGACGAAAGCUAGGGGAGCGAAUGGGAUUAGAUACCCC